AGCUCAAAGUGGCAGAGAAAUCACAAGGACAAAAACAACAUGAAAAUGACAUGAGAGGAUGAAGCUAGUUACCUCUAAACACGAAGAGUCGAUGGUGGAGUCGAAGAAGAUCACCAAUGGGCGUCGUCGAUGUCGAUUCAUACUAUAACCAUUGAUUUUGAGCUUAAAAUGGAGGAGAGAUCAUAAAAAUAAAAAAACAUCAAAAAGAUAAAAGAGGAUGAAGUUAGUUACCCCUAGACUCGAGGAAACGAUGAUGGCGUCGAAGAAGAUCACCAAUGGGCACCGGAGAUGAAGAACAAGCAAGAACAAGCAAUGGCAAGCAAAAAGAGAGAGAAUAAAGCUCACUGAAUUUUGAAUGGGCUUGGUCUCGGAGAGAAAAAAGGAAGAAAGAUAUAACCCGUGCACCUUUAG
rnacentral:lncRNA from 1 species